UACAUGUUCGUGUGCAUGUGUGUGUGGAUCCAGUUUUCCCAGCAUCAUUUACGGGAAAACUGGAUCCACACAUGCAUGCACACUAACAUG
rnacentral:miRNA from 1 species